rnacentral:tRNA from 1 species
GGUGGCUCAAUGGUUAAAUGUUCAGCUGAUAACUGGAAGGUCGGUGGUUCAAACCCACCAGCCACUC